rfam:Triticum urartu cultivar G1812 contig605473, whole genome shotgun sequence.
AAGGUACUCCCUCCGUUCGGAAAUACUUGUCAUCAAAAUGAAUAAAAAGGGGUCCCUUUUUAUUCAUUUUGAUGACAAGUAUUUCCGAACGGAGGGAGUACCUU